UACGUAGGGGGCAAGCGUUAUCCGGAAUCACUGGGCGUAAAGGGUGCGUAGGCGGUUUUACAAGUCAGGAGUGAAAGGCUAUGGCUCAACCAUAGUGAGCUCUUGAAACUGUAUGACUUGAGUGCAGGAGAGGAAAGUGGAAUUCCUAGUGUAGCGGUGAAAUGCGUAGAUAUUAGGAGGAACACCAGUGGCGAAGGCGACUUUCUGGACUGUAACUGACGCUGAGGCACGAAAGCGUGGGGAGCGAACA
rnacentral:rRNA from 1 species